rnacentral:rRNA from 1 species
GAUGAACGCUAGCGGCAGGCCUAACACAUGCAAGUCGAGGGGCAGCACGAUUGAGCUUGCUUAAUUGGUGGCGACCGGCGCACGGGUGCGUAACGCGUAUGCAACCUACCUUAUACUGGGGUAUAGCCCGGAGAAAUUCGAAUUAAUCCCCCAUGUUAUUAUUGAAUGGCAUCAUUUGAUAAUUAAAGGUUACGGUAUAAGAUGGGCAUGCGUCCCAUUAGCUAGAUGGUGAGGUAACGGCUCACCAUGGCGACGAUGGGUAGGGGGCCUGAGAGGGUGGUUCCCUACACUGGUACUGAGACACGGACCAGACUCCUACGGGAGGCAGCAGUGAGGAAUAUUGGUCAAUGGGCGCAAGCCUGAACCAGCCAUGCCGCGUGCAGGAAGACGGUCCUAUGGAUUGUAAACUGCUUUUGUACGGAACGAAACGGCUUUUUACUAAUUACAGAAGGCUAAUG